AGUUUUGGUUUUAAUAUGUUUUCUUAUUUUUUCGUGGGAAGCUGUGAGUUUAAUUUUAGGAGUCGAUUUGUACAUAAAACGCGAUUGUUGUGGCAAGAAAUAUAAAAAGAAAAAAACUCGAAACUUGUUCCUGGUGGUGGUGCGACAAAACUGACUGUUCAUCCAUUGAAGGCAUAGAAAAGGUCUUGGUGUUUGAACUACUAUGUAGUAUGUUUUUGCGGAGUGGAUUGUGUUCGUUGUUCAAAACAAGCGGUUCUCGUGUUGAUAAGUGCGAUUUGAGUGAAAUUUAGUCGUAUAGAUAACUGUAGUCAUAUAUAGUUUCAUUCAUGUAGUUAUAUAUAUUUAUAUACAAGCUAUGUGGUUUUUCUGAUGUAUAGUGAUCUUGAUGAUUGUGUUUUUUUUCA